rnacentral:tRNA from 1 species
GGUGGCUCAGUGGUAGAGUGCUUGUCUUGCAUGCAUGAGGCCCUGGGUUCGGUUCCUCAGCACCA